UACAGAGGGGGCAAGCGUUAUUCGGAAUUAUUGGGCGUAAAGGGCGCGUAGGCGGCAUGGCAAGUGGAUGGUGAAAUCCCUCGGCUUAACCGAGGAACUGCCGUCCAAACUGCUUCGCUUGAGACCGGGAGAGGUGAGUGGAAUUCCCAGUGUAGCGGUGAAAUGCGUAGAUAUUGGGAGGAACACCAGUGGCGAAGGCGGCUCACUGGACCGGUACUGACGCUGAUGCGCGAAAGCGUGGGGAGCAAGCGGG
rnacentral:rRNA from 1 species